rnacentral:rRNA from 1 species
GUUUUCGGUUAAAUCCAUACGCUCAACGUAUGGGCUGCCGGGAAUACUGCAUAGCUAGGGAGUGGGAGAGGUAGACGGUACUCGGUAGGAAGGGGUAAAAUCCUUUGAUCUAUUGAUGACCACCUGUGGCGAAGGCGGUCUACCAGAACACGUCCGACGGUGAGGGAUGAAAGCUGGGGGAGCAAACCGGAUUAGAUACCCGGGUAGUCCCAGCUGUAAACUAUGCAAACUCGGUGAUGCAUUGGCUUGAUGCCAAUGCAGUGCCGCAGGGAAGCCGUUAAGUUUGCCGCCUGGGAAGUACGUACGCAAGUAUGAAACUUAAAGGAAUUGGCGGGGGAGCACCACAAGGGGUGAAGCCUGCGGUUCAAUUGGAGUCAACGCCAGAAAUCUUACCCGGAGAGACAGCAGAAUGAAGGUCAAGCUGAAGACUUUACCAGACAAGCUGAGAGGUGGUGCAUGGCCGUCGCCAGCUCGUGCCGUGAGAUGUCCUGUUAAGUCAGGUAACGAACGAGAUCCCUGCCUCUAGUUGCCACCAUUACUCUCAGGAGUAGUGGGGCGAAUUAGCGGGACCGCCGUAGUUAAUACGGAGGAAGGAAGGGGCCACGGCAGGUCAGUAUGCCCCGAAACUCUGGGGCCACACGCGGGCUGCAAUGGUAACGACAAUGUGUUCCGAAUCCGAAAGGAGGAGGUAAUCCAGAAACGUUACCACAGUUAUGACUGAGGGCUGCAACUCGCCCUCACGAAUAUGGAAUCCCUAGUAACUGCGUGUCAUUACCGCGCGGUGAAUACGUCCCUGCUCCUUGCACACACCGCCCGU